rnacentral:lncRNA from 1 species
UGACAGAUGAUGAAGUGCUUUGAGACAUAUGUAGAAGAAUGGAUAAUAAAGAAUAAAGCACUUUAAGAUUUGUGCAUAUAGAUAGAUAACAGAAGAUGGAGUGCUUUGAAAUAUAUAUGGAUAGAUGGAUGACAGAGAAUGGAAUGCUUUGAAAUCUAUAUAAACGAAUGGAUGAUAAAGGAUAGAACGCUUUAAAAUUGUACAGACGGAUGGAUGACAAAAAAUAGAGUGCUAUGAGAUUUGUGCAAAAUGGAUGAAUAAUAGAGGAUGGAGUGCUUUAAAAUCUAUACAGCCAUAUGAAUGAUAAAAAAUCAAGUGCUUUGAGAUCCGUCCACUUUGAUGAUAGACAAUGGAGCACUUUUACAAUUUACACAUACGAAUGAGUGACAAAGAACGACAUGCAUUUAAGAACUGCACAAAAGAAUGGAUGAUAGAAAAAUAAUAUUUUAAAAUCUAUACAAGUGAAUUCAUGAUAGUGGAUAGAAUGCUUUAAGAUUUAUAUAAGCACAUAACAGUGAACAAAAUACAUUGGGAUUUAAAUAAAACACUUUGAGAUCUAUAUAAGCAACUGAAUGAUCUAUAUAAAGAAUAAAAUGCUUUAAAAUCAAUGCAAGUAGCUGGAUGAUAGAAGAUGAAGUGCUUUAAAAUCCUAAAGGAACGAUAGAUAAUAAAAUACUCUAAAAACUAUGCUCACGGAUGAAUGCUAUAGAUGCACUUCCAGAUCACGCGAAAGCCACGAUAUGAUCUCUCUAAAUUGAGAAUAUUUUAUUUUUUUCUCGCUUCGUUACCGAUGUAAGAAUCCACAGAAAUGAUUGGACCAAAAUGCAACAAUUUUUAAGUUUUCAUAGUUAAUUGAUACUUUCUAAACUUUUAGAUCUAAAUAUAAAUAGUCCAAAUUUAAAGAUGUGCUUAUGUAAGUUUUCCUACAAAACUUAAUAUAAGAUUGCUCCACCAUAACGUGAAGGUCACGAAUUCCAAACACAAAAACCAUCUAUCCAUAUAUAAGGAUAAAGCUACAUAUAUGGUACACCAUAUGAUGAGGGCAGCCUUGUGCACCAGACUAUUCUUUUUCCAUUAACAAAUUUGAAGUUAAGUAGACUAAAACGAGUUAAAUUUGGGAGAAACAACAGGAAGGAAAAAAAAAA